CGGCGGACGGGUGAGUAACACGUGGAUAACCUACCUAUAAGACUGGGAUAACUUCGGGAAACCGGAGCUAAUACCGGAUAAUAUUUUGAACCGCAUGGUUCAAAAGUGAAAGACGGUCUUGCUGUCGCUUAUAGAUGGAUCCGCGCUGCAUUAGCUAGUUGGUAAGGUAACGGCUUACCAAGGCAACGAUGCAUAGCCGACCUGAGAGGGUGAUCGGCCACACUGGAACUGAGACACGGUCCGG
rnacentral:rRNA from 1 species